rnacentral:rRNA from 1 species
UGGGGAAUAUUGGACAAUGGGCGCAAGCCUGAUCCAGCCAUGCCGCGUGAAUGACGAAGGCCUUCGGGUUGUAAAGUUCUUUUAGUGGGGAAAAUAAUGAUGGUACCCACAGAAAAAGCUCCGGCUAACUUCGUGCCAGCAGCCGCGGUAAUACGAAGGGGGCUAGCGUUGCUCGGAAUUACUGGGCGUAAAGCGUUUGUAGGCGGUCUUUUAAGCCAGUGGUGAAAGCCUGGAGCUCAACUCCAGAAUUGCCAUUGGGACUGAAAGGCUAGAGGAUGUUAGAGGUAAGUGGAAUUCCUAGUGUAGGAGUGAAAUCCGUAGAGAUUAGGAGGAAUAUCGAUGGCGAAGGCAGCUUACUGGGACAUUUCUGACGCUGAGAAACGAAAGCGUGGGUAGCAAA